rnacentral:rRNA from 1 species
GACGUAGGGCGCGAGCGUUGUCCGGAUUUAUUGGGCGUAAAGAGCUCGUAGGCGGCUUGUCGCGUCGACUGUGAAAACCCGCGGCUCAACUGCGGGCCUGCAGUCGAUACGGGCAGGCUAGAGUUCGGUAGGGGAGACUGGAAUUCCUGGUGUAGCGGUGAAAUGCGCAGAUAUCAGGAGGAACACCGGUGGCGAAGGCGGGUCUCUGGGCCUUACCUGACGCUGAGGCGCGAAAGCUAGGGGAGCGAACAGG